UACGUAGGGUGCAAGCGUUGUCCGGAUUUAUUGGGUUUAAAGGGUGCGUAGGCGGCCCUAUAAGUCAGAGGUGAAAGAUGUCGGCUUAACCGGCAAAUUGCCUUUGAUACUGUAGGGCUUGAGUACAGAUGAGGUGGCCGGAAUGUUACAUGUAGCGGUGAAAUGCUUAGAUAUGUAACAGAACACCGAUUGCGAAGGCAGGUCACUAAGGUGUAACUGACGCUGAGGCACGAAAGCGUGGGGAUCAAACAG
rnacentral:rRNA from 1 species